GAAGGACCGGCUAACUCCGUGCCAGCAGCCGCGGUAAUACGGAGGGUCCGAGCGUUAAUCGGAAUUACUGGGCGUAAAGCGUGCGCAGGCGGUUUGUUAAGCGAGAUGUGAAAGCCCUGGGCUCAACCUAGGAAUAGCAUUUCGAACUGGCGAACUAGAGUCUUGUAGAGGGGGGUAGAAUUCCAGGUGUAGCGGUGAAAUGCGUAGAGAUCUGGAGGAAUACCGGUGGCGAAGGCGGCCCCCUGGACAAAGACUGACGCUCAUGCACGAAAGCGUGGGGAGCAAACAGGAUUAGAUACCCUGGUAGUCCACGCCGUAAACGAUGUCUACUCGGAGUUUGGUGUCUUGAACACUGGGCUCUCAAGCUAACGCAUUAAGUAGACCGCCUGGGGAGUACGGCCGCAAGGUUAAAACUCAAAUGAAUUGACGGGGGCCCGCACAAGCGGUGGAGCAUGUGGUUUAAUUCGAUGCAACGCGAAG
rnacentral:rRNA from 1 species